rnacentral:rRNA from 1 species
UACGUAGGUGGCAAGCGUUGUCCGGAAUUAUUGGGCGUAAAGCGCGCGCAGGUGGUUCUUUAAGUCUGUUGCGAAAGCCCCGGGCUCAACCUGGGAAUGGCAAUGGAUACUGGCAGGCUAGAGUGCGGUAGAGGGUAGUGGAAUUCCCGGUGUAGCGGUGAAAUGCGUAGAGAUCGGGAGGAACACCAGUGGCGAAGGCGGCUACCUGGACCAUUACUGACGCUGAGGCACGAAAGCUAGGGGAGCAAACAGG